rnacentral:tRNA from 1 species
UAAGAAUUAGUUAAAAUAUAAUAUAAACUUGUCAUGUUUAAGUUGAAAAUCAUUCUUAA